CUUCAAUUUGUACGAAGAACAGGAUCAAUUUUCCUAAAGAAUAAUAAUAAAGAGAAAAAUAAAUGCACCGGUUCGAUCUGAUUCUUUCUUCCUACGUUCAACUCCACGUUUCAGGAAAAAUCUACUCGAAUUUUGAAUUAGGAUUGUGAUUGUGUUGAAUUCUGCUGG